UGUGUGUGUGUGUUGGAGAUAAGUGAAUGUGAGAACACACACACACACACACACACACACACACAAUCACACUAACAUUAUUACACAGGAGUUAAUAGCGAUAGAGGAUUUUACUGCUACAGGAGCAGAUCAGAAGAAGUCAAAGCGUCUAGAGGUGGAGGUUUGGAGCAUGUGGAGGUGACCCUCAGCUCAGGAUUAAUCCAGACUCUUUAUCUUGUGUUACGCCUUCAGCCAACAAAUUGACUUUUUUAUAUUUAUAUACACACACUUUGCUGUUUGCAUCUAUGUAAUGUGUUCUGCUCUCAGCCAAUCAAAACACACUGUUUUAUACUGACAUUAAUGAUGACUGUUUUGUAAUUUGACUACAUGUUUUCCCUUUUUUUUUUUUUUUUAGAACUGCUGAAAUAAAACGUUUUUAAACAUGGA